rnacentral:lncRNA from 1 species
AAUAACUCUAACCAGACCCCUUCAUGUUGGGAAGAACGUCCGUGCCUCUGACUUAUUCCAAAUGGGUAUAGUUUGUGAAAAGUGCCUGCGCUUAUCCAUCUCAUUGCAGGUGUUGGCUGAAAUUUACAACUAGGCAGCAUCUCCUUACCCGGUUCAGAUACACCAACUAACCCCACUACGACCUUUCUUCCUACCUCCCGUGCCCCUUCACUCAAUAAUUGCUUUCAAAGUAGUCGGAGGAGGAUGCAUAUCUAGGUUUUUAACUUUACCCUGAUUUUCCAAUUUCAAUUUUAAGAUAUCAUUGAACAGAGGACAGGUGGAUCCUCUGUAUUCAGAGGGAGAACCACUUCUUUAGGUUUUGUUUCAGGGGAAUCGAGUUUCAAGAAGCAGUGUUAAUUAUGAGGUCAGGUUCCACCUUUUCAAAUUUCUGUGCAUGAGCAAUGCUUAAACAGUGCUACCAUGUAUUGCUUUCCUAAGGAUUAUUAAUAAUACAUUUGCAACUACUCUGAGACUAGCUAUAAAAUUUCAGAGACAGAAUGAGAAUGUAAUCUGUCUACAGCAACAAAGAUGAAUCACUUUGAUAAAUUCUUUAUGAUGGUGUCUCAUGUCCUGCAACUCUUGGAUUGGUUGUGUCUACAGUUAAUCCUUCAAUAACCCUCACAAGCACCUCAUUACUCACCAGACUGACAUGUUUGGUCGUAAAAGAGGUGCUGUUAUAUAACACAGGCACUGUACAGACUCGGGUCAUGAAUAUUAAGAGACAGCCUCAAGUGAGAUGAGAUCAGUGAAGACGUCUUGUCGCCUCUACCCUAGAAAUAAACUAGAAGCAGGCUUAGUGUGUCCUUGCAGGCUUUGGACAUCAGGGGUGAUGGUACAGGUGCUGUGUCCUUCAUAGCUUUCAGGUUCAUCAUCCCUCCCACCAAUCUGUGACUCUACCACCAGAGCCAUCAGUAAGACUGACCCUGCAAUUUCCCUUGCUCAUAGUAUCCUUU